GACGAACGCUGGCGGCGUGCUUAACACAUGCAAGUCGAACGGAAAGGCCCUGCUUUUGUGGGGUGCUCGAGUGGCGAACGGGUGAGUAACACGUGAGUAACCUGCCCUUGACUUUGGGAUAACUUCAGGAAACUGGGGCUAAUACCGGAUAGGAGCUCCUGCUGCAUGGUGGGGGUUGGAAAGUUUCGGCGGUUGGGGAUGGACUCGCGGCUUAUCAGCUUGUUGGUGGGGUAGUGGCUUACCAAGGCUUUGACGGGUAGCCGGCCUGAGAGGGUGACCGGCCACAUUGGGACUGAGAUACGGCCCAGACUCCUACGGGAGGAAGCAGUGGGGAAUAUUGCACAAUGGGCGGAAGACUGAUGCAGCAACGCCGCGUGCGGGAUGACGGCCUUCGGGUUGUAAACCGCUUUCGCCUGUGACGAAGCGUGAGUGACGGUAAUGGGUAAAGAAGCACCGGCUAACUACG
rnacentral:rRNA from 1 species